GAAGAAAUGAGACAAAGAUGCCUAGGUUUAAGGUACUACUAGCUUUGGAAUAUAGAAGUGAACAAAGUCUUUAUCUUCAUGGAGCUGGAGUUCUGGAGAGACAAAAUGAACAAAUAUCAGAUCCAGUUUCCUUCAACAGAAGCAACCAUUGUCACUUGUUUCUCAUGCACCUUCCAGAGAUACUACAAGGAUAUCCAAGCAUUUAAGUGCACGUCCAUGCACAUCCACAAACUCACAGCCUGUUUCCACCUUGAACUUUUCACUCAGUUUAUCUUGGAG